AUUGAACGCUGGCGGCAGGCCUAACACAUGCAAGUCGAACGAGUGGCGGACGGGUGAGUAAUGUCUGGGCAACUGCCCGAUGGAGGGGGAUAACUAAUGGAAACGGUAGCUACUUCCGCCUACCAUCGGCUGUGCCCAGAUGGGAUUAGUUAGUGGGUGGGGUAACGGCUCACCUAGGCGACGAUCCCUACCUGGUCUGAGAGGAUGACCAGCCACACUGGAACUGAGACACGGCCCAGACUCCUACGGGAGGCAACAGUGGGGAAUAUUGGACAAUGGGCGCAAGCCUGAUGCAGCCAUGCCGCGUGUAUGAAGAAGGCCUUCGGGUUGUAAAGUACUUUCAGCGGGGAGGCGUUACCCGCAGAAGAAGCACCGGCUAACUCCGUGCCAGCAGCCGCGGUAAUUC
rnacentral:rRNA from 1 species